GUACUACUUCCUCCGUCCAACAAAAGAUGUCUCAAGUUUGUCAAAAUUUGGAUGUAUCUAGACAUGACUUAGUAUAUAGAUGCAUUCAAAUUUGGUCAAAGUUGAGACAUCCUUUGUUGGACGGAGGGAGUAUAUU
rnacentral:pre_miRNA from 1 species